AAAACGACUCUCGGCAACGGAUAUCUCGGCUCUCGCAUCGAUGAAGAACGUAGUGAAAUGCGAUACUUGGUGUGAAUUGCAGAAUCCCGUGAACCAUCGAGUCUUUGAACGCAAGUUGCGCCCUAAGCCUUCUGGCCGAGGGCACGUCUGCCUGGGUGUCACAAA
rnacentral:rRNA from 1 species